rnacentral:rRNA from 1 species
CCUACGGGAGACAGCAGUCGAGAAUCUUUCACAAUGGGGGAAACCCUGAUGGUGCGACGCCGCGUGGGGGAAUGAAGGUCUUCGGAUUGUAAACCCCUGUCAUGUGGGAGCAAAUUAAAAAGAUAGUACCACAAGAGGAAGAGACGGCUAACUCUGUGCCAGCAGCCGCGGUAAUACAGAGGUCUCAAGCGUUGUUCGGAAUCACUGGGCGUAAAGCGUGCGUAGGCUGUUUCGUAAGUCGUGUGUGAAAGGCGCGGGCUCAACCCGCGGACGGCAAAUGAUACUGGGAGACUUGAGUAAUGGAAGGGGAAACGGAAUUCGCGGUGGAGCAGUGAAAUGCGUAGAUA